UUAUCAUUACGUCAGUCGUGUUCUUGGAGCUUAGUUUUAUAUCAGAGACUAAGAACACCUCUUGAAUUAGAACAAUGGCUUCUGAAAUCAUUUCUUUUCAGUGAAAUACGAGAAUCUCAAGCACCUUGAAUUUCCCCUGCUACUAAGCGAACAGAAAUAGAAGACCAUACGCCAUCCUUACAGCGAGACAAGGUCCAUAUGGACAUCUUUUUGAGGCAUCUUUCUUCCUCUCUGACAGACUAAAACGGAAACAAUGAAUAUGUUGAUUCCUAUGGUAACAAGAAGGUUCUAUCAAGCAGCUUCUAUACUGAGCCGGGUAUGUGCAGGCUGACCAGCUGGCUGACUCCUCUGAGGUUUAUAGAUGGUGGCUGUUAAUAAGUUUCAGUUGGCGCUGAUCAUCAUUGUGGCCAUUAUGGCGGCAUAUUUUUUGGGAUCUUAUAUUUGGCAUAAAAUUAUGGCCUGACCCCGAGAAUCCAUCUUAAGUUCUAUAUAAAGAUUCCUUUGAUAAUCCAGAUUAUGAAAUAAAGGAAGAUGAAAUCAUUGAAUGGAUUUACUCUCUUGCAGACUAAGAAGGAAAAAUGUGAUUAUGAUUAUUGUAAAAAC